CCACAGCAUGUAAUAUUAGUUUC
rnacentral:snRNA from 1 species